CUUUAGUGGCGGACGGGUGAGUAACGCGUGGGUAACCUGCCUUGCACUGGGGGAUAACACUUAGAAAUAGGUGCUAAUACCGCAUAAGCGCACGGUCCUGCAUGGGACAGUGUGAAAAACUCCGGUGGUGCAAGAUGGACCCGCGUCUGAUUAGCUGGUUGGCGGGGUAAAGGCCCACCAAGGCGACGAUCAGUAGCCGGCCUGAGAGGGUGGACGGCCACAUUGGGACUGAGACACGGCCCAAACUCCUACGGGAGGCAGCAG
rnacentral:rRNA from 1 species